UUGCUCCUACGGGGCGUAGCAGUGGGGAAUAUUGCACAAUGGGCGAAAGCCUGAUGCAGCAACGCCGCGUGAAGGAAGACGGUUUUCGGAUUGUAAACUUCUAUCAAUAGGGAAGAAAGAAAUGACGGUACCUAAAUAAGAAGCCCCGGCUAACUACGUGCCAGCAGCCGCGGUAAUACGUAGGGGGCAAGCGUUAUCCGGAAUUACUGGGUGUAAAGGGAGAGUAGGUGGCAAGGUAAGCGAUAUGUGAAAGCCUUAAGCUUAACUUAAGGAUUGCAUAACGAACUAUCUAGCUAGAGUACAGG
rnacentral:rRNA from 1 species